rnacentral:lncRNA from 1 species
AUCCCUCUUUUUACCAGUAGUGAUAGGUAAACAAGAACAUGAGUGGAUAAUAAAGCACUCACCCCCAAUACAACGGUUGAUAAAGUGGAACUCCGCAUAGUGACAAGGCCAGAGAGCUGAUCAUCAGCGAAAAGAUCUGACCAGAAUGACAAAUACAGUGACAUGGCUGUAAUGAAAAUAGCAUGGACCGUAGAUAUGGACCUACA